AGCCGGUUCCUUCCUCCCAGCACGUAGGGCUCAAGCUGCUCCGGCUUUCCCGUCCCACGCAGGCACACACAGCCCGAGGUGCUGCCUCCGCACCUUCCCUUCCCUGCCCGUGGCUCUCCUGAGCUCCAGCCAAGCAGGGGAGCCUGGCUAAGGGUCAGAGCCAGCCCUCGCCCUGUACAGUGUGGGAUGCAGCAAGGAGAGAGCAAAAUGGAAAUCACCUCAGAAUUAACAAGAAUGUGGACAAAAUAUGUGGAAUUAACAAGAAAAGGGACAUCUUCCAAAGCAAUGAGCUGUGCCCCACAGAGACCUUCAGCUGCACUUUUAUAAGAGUCAGUGAUGGGAAGCCCACCAGGAUUGACUCAAAAAUGUUAAAUGCACUCUGUAACCUGCCUCUUUGCUAAAAUUACACUUUAAUUUGCUUCA